UGUUUGUUUGCGUGUGUGUGUGUGUGCACAUGUAAGCUAUGCAUGUACACACACACACACACACACACACACACACACACACAAAUAUGU
rnacentral:miRNA from 1 species